rnacentral:rRNA from 1 species
ACCCCACUAUGCCUAACCAUAAAUAGACCUUUACCACCCCUUACUUUGUUUAAGUCCGCCUGAGUACUACAAGCGCUAGCUUAAAACCCAAAGGACUUGGCGGUGCCCCAGACCCCCCUAGAGGAGCCUGUUCUAUAACCGAUAAUCCCCGUUAAACCUUACCACUUCUUGCUUUUACCGCCUAUAUACCGCCGUCGUCAGCUCACCCCAUGAGGGCACAGAAGUAAGCAUAACGGACUUCCUCCAAAACGUCAGGUCGAGGUGUAGCGAAUGAAGUGGAAAGAAAUGGGCUACAUUUUCUCUAAAGAAAAUACGGACAGUAAAAUGAAAAAUCACUUAUAAGGUGGAUUUAGCAGUAAGAAGAACUUAGGAUAUUUUUCUGAAGUCGGCUCUGA